UAUUAAAACUAAGUGUUAUUUAGGUAACUUAAUCUUAAUCAUAAAACUGAAUUAUGGACUAAAUUAGAAUUUGGGGUGUAAAUGGGUGUGGGUGUAUUGAGAAAUCUAUGUGUGUGUAUGAGUGAUGUGUUGGAAUUCAAAGAAGAGUGCAUGUGUGCUUGUGUGGUGUGAAGAGGUGUUGUGUGUGUAAGUGUUAUGUGUUGGUGAGUUAUAGAGGAGUUGUUUAUUUAGUUGUGCUAAGAGCUCAUUUUAAAGAGAGAGAGAGAGAGAGACCAACUCUAGAGAGAGUGAGUUCCAAAUUUUGAAGAGAAUGGGGAUCGUAGGAGAAGCUGAAAAUUUGGCUAAAACUCUUCAAGCUAAAGACUCUAGAGAUACUGGUGGAAAAGAGAUAUGGAUGAGCCCAAUGAAGCCACUUGGAUGACACUAAUAAUCAACUUGAAUGCAUUAACAGGGUCAUUAUUUGAUUAGAAUGAUUCCCUCUCGUGAAGAUAUUUUAAUUUUGAGGUUGUGUUUGAUUCAUUGAAAUAAAGAUAUAAUGGAAUGGAAUGACCAUUUCUUAACCUCCUUAAUGGAAUAACAAUUUUCUUUUGGCUUUUUAAUAUUGUUGAAGGUGGUUUAUUUUGGAUGAAUGUGAUUGAUUCAAUUUAUUUUGGAUGAAUGUAACUAAUUCAAUUUAGCUUGUUCUUUUGCUUUUCUUUUUCAUCUAGUCUUGUGUUUACAUAAAUUACUA